GCCUAGUUAGCUUGGAGGGUAGAGCGUCUGCCUUGUAAGCGCUAGGCCGCGGGUUCGAUUCCCGCCCAGGGCU
rnacentral:tRNA from 1 species